rnacentral:rRNA from 1 species
GGCUUGCGGCAGCUACACAUGCAGUCGAACGGUAACAUUUCUAGCUUGCUAGAAGAUGACGAGUGGCGGACGGGUGAGUAAUGCUUGGGAACUUGCCUUUGCGAGGGGGAUAACAGUUGGAAACGACUGCUAAUACCGCAUAAUGUCUUCGGACCAAACGGGGCUUCGGCUCCGGCGCAAAGAGAGGCCCAAGUGAGAUUAGCUAGUUGGUAAGGUAACGGCUUACCAAGGCGACGAUCUCUAGCUGUUCUGAGAGGAAGAUCAGCCACACUGGGACUGAGACACGGCCCAGACUCCUACGGGAGGCAGCAGUGGGGAAUAUUGCACAAUGGGGGAAACCCUGAUGCAGCCAUGCCGCGUGUGUGAAGAAGGCCUUCGGGUUGUAAAGCACUUUCAGUUGUGAGGAAAAGUUAGUAGUUAAUACCUGCUAGCCGUGACGUUAACAACAGAAGAAGCACCGGCUAACUCCGUGCCAGCAGCCGCGGUAAUACGGAGGGUGCGAGCGUUAAUCGGAAUUACUGGGCGUAAAGCGCACGCAGGCGGUUUGUUAAGCUAGAUGUGAAAGCCCCGGGCUCAACCUGGGAUGGUCAUUUAGAACUGGCAGACUAGAGUCUUGGAGAGGGGAGUGGAAUUCCAGGUGUAGCGGUGAAAUGCGUAGAUAUCUGGAGGAACAUCAGUGGCGAAGGCGACUCCCUGGCCAAAGACUGACGCUCAUGUGCGAAAGUGUGGGUAGCGAACAGGAUUAGAUACCC